AUGGAAGCACCAGCUCAGCCUCCCUGCCUCCUGUUACUCUGGCUCCCAGAUACCACAGAACAAGACAUGAUGACACAGUCUCCAGCCUCCCUAUCUUUGUUUCCAGGAGAAAGAGCUACCCUCACCUGCAGGACCAGUCAGAGUGUUAGCAGCUACUUAGCCUGGUACCAGCAGAAACCUGGGCAGGCCCCCAGGCCCCUCAUCUAUGGUGCAUCCACCAGGCCCACCGGCAUCCCUGCCCAGUUCAGUGGCAGUGGGUCUGGGACAGAGUUUACUCUCACCAUCAGCAGCCUGCAGCCUGAAGAUUGUGCAGUUUACUAUUGUCAGCAGUAUAAUUCCUCUCCCCAUAGUUUUGGAGGCAGUACUCUGAUUUUAUUGAGAUGUUGA